rnacentral:lncRNA from 1 species
UUCAUUCCUGGAUUUAUUUGCUAACCUUGUACAAAGUUAACAGUUGUCAGAAAAAGAUAUAGUAAUUCGUGUCUUGAGGAGCUGAUGGGCACUGGGCCUAGGACCUCUUUGCACUGGAAUAAUGGGGGAGGGGAGCGGGUGACCUUAUCAGAAAUGCAGAUUCCUGGGCCCCACCCCAGACGGACCGAAUUAAGAGUCCCAGAGUGACGGCAGAAAUCUCCAUUUUUGACGGGCUCCCGCUGGGAUUCGGGUGUCUGCUCAUCUGGAAGCCUCCAUGCUGGAGAGGUAGUCAGCACAGCGCACGCAGGGCGUAGGCGUGUUUUCUCGUCCCUCCCUCGCAACCAUAGUCCCGCUCAAGGCGUGGGGGUGUCACCCGAGACCCGGGCCUCCCCUGCACUUUCCUUUAGGCCGAAACCGCGAGCCUUCGCUUCAGUGUCGCUUUUCCUUCGCCGCCGCCGCCGACGCCGCCGCCGCUGCCGCUCUUCUCAGGACCUAGAUCGACUGCCCAGUCGGCUGAGCUGGGCCCUGGGCCACCGAGGCCCGGGGAGCUGAGGGGCUCGGGACCCUGCGAGCCGCUUAAGAAAGGACCGCAAGAACCGAAUGCAGUGAACUGCGAGAGCAGGGAAUGAGAGACAAGUUAAACCGUUUAGCAAAAAAAAAUAAGAGACAUGAUGGAGGCAGAAAAUAAAUUGUAGGGGGGAGGGAAAAAAGCGUUACGACUCCGCCGGGACUCGAACCCGGAACCUUUGAAUGCCUUCAGCCUCUAGAAGUCCAAUGCGCUAUCCAUUGCGCCACGGAGCCACCUGUUGGAGUCUCAGCGCAUCUGCUGUGUUAAGCCAGAGGCGACGGCCGCGCGCUCUUCCGACCGCCCCUCCCGUCGUCAGUGUCACCGAGACCCAGCCGCCGCGCUCAGGGCACUGCCAUCCGCCUCAAACGCCGGCCGCAGGCUCUCGGUCUCCCCGCAGUGGUCGCCCCUCAACAAGGUCGGCGACCCAGUUGAGCCAAGGGCGGCCGCAGUCCGACGGUCCCACCUGGUCGGUAUGAGGGCAGCCGCAACCCGGUCCCCUUCACGGUCCGGGCCCAGCCGUACGAAUCACAGUCGCGCUUUUCCCUCCCCGGCUCCCUUCCUGCCCCAAGCGCCCCGCCUACCAGGUCUCUCCGGCGGCCGCUCCAGCCCGGCCGGGACCCCAGAGUUGCAGGCCCAGGCCAGCCGUUGCACCGUUAAGCCGGGCCGGUGACGCCGGGCCUUUACGUCGCGCCUGUGAGCGGCCGAGGCCGAGCGGCCGCCCCUCGGGCUGCGAGACGUAAGCGGCGACCCCUCUCGGGCCUGGGCUCUUCCCUCGCGGCCCGGCCGGCCGGCGGCCUGGACCUGCGGCGGCGAGCGCCGGUCGCGGCGACGUCUGGAGACAUUACCUCAUCCCUCAAGAUUGCUCGCUGCAAACACAACGCUGAGAAAUGGCCCAAGUAAAGCGUGAUCAGGGUCUUGCAUUCUUGGCACAUCUAGGAAGAACGUGCAAGGAUGCGAAUUGUGAAUCGCUUCUCCAAACAAUCCAUUAUUUGGGCAGGAUUCUGUAGGGAAAAC